rnacentral:rRNA from 1 species
UACAGAGGAUGCAAGCGUUAUCCGGAAUGAUUGGGCGUAAAGCGUCCGCAGGUGGCAAUGUAAGUCUGCUGUCAAAGCGUCUGGCUCAACCAGAUAAAGGCAGUGGAAACUACAUAGCUAGAGUAAGGUAGGGGUAGAGGGAAUUCCUGGUGUAGCGGUGAAAUGCGUAGAGAUCAGGAAGAACACCGGUGGCGAAAGCGCUCUGCUGGACCUUAACUGACACUGAGGGACGAAAGCUAGGGGAGCGAAUGGG